AUUGAACGCUGGCGGCAGGCCUAACACAUGCAAGUCGAGCGGAGCGGCGGACGGGUGAGUAAUGCCUAGGAAUCUGCCUGGUAGUGGGGGAUAACGUCCGGAAACGGGCGCUAAUACCGCAUACUAUCAGAUGAGCCUCGGUCGGAUUAGCUAGUUGGUGGGGUAAAGGCCUACCAAGGCGACGCUCCGUAACUGGUCUGAGAGGGUGAUCACGCACCCUGGAAAUGAGGCACGGUCCAAGCUCCUACGGGAGGCAGCAGUGGGGAAUAUUGGACAAUGGGCGAAAGCCUGAUCCAGCCAUGCCGCGUGUGUGAAGAAGGCCUUCGGGUUGUAAAGCACUUUCAGCGGGGAGGCGUUACCCGCAGAAGAAGCACCGGCUAACUCCGUGCCAGCAGCCGCGGUAAUAC
rnacentral:rRNA from 1 species